rnacentral:lncRNA from 1 species
UUACAUCAAAGUUCCAGGCUAUAUCUAAUUGACACCUUUCUUUCCUUUCUCCUCAUCAUUCGAAUCUCAUUUUCCCUUGCGAAUAGUUAUGUUGAGGGAAAUCUCCAUGCCCUUUUUCUAGGCAACUAUGAUCAAAUUUUUUAACAUGCUUGACAAGUCCAUCCAUUGAAAUGCCAACAAUAGUGAGUACAUCAAUGAAAUGGCUGCCCCUUGUUUUCACUAUUCUUUUCCACCUCCAUCCAUUUCAAUAAUCUCUCACCACAUUUUGGGCUUCUUUUCUUUCUGGAGCAUUCCGACANNN